ACUUUAGUCCAGCCAAGCACAGCAAAUAUCAGAACCAUGCAAAUAAUAGUAGACAAUCGGACAAAACUGAAAAUGAAUAAAUAUGCUGGGGCAAUAUUGCUAUGUCAUAUAGGUACUUCUAGCUUAUUCCAAAUGAAAGUCCAACUACAGAUGUUUACUUGACACAAUCCACUAUAUUCCUACAGGUUGUUUCUUCAAUCCCCAAUCUUUUCCACUAAAGUCUUAUUAAGUAAUUUUUGGUAUGAUUUUGCUAAAUCGACAAUUAAAUUGACUAAUGACUAUAUAUGGUUUCUGAUGUCAACUAUACAUUUCACUUGUUCUUUUUAAAAAUAAAAAAUAAAAAAUCCCUCUCCCCUAAUUUGCUUCACCUUCCGCCACUGCAGCCAUCUAAGCAUAAAUUUGCUGAGAAUUAACAACACCCUACAACAGAACUCCCAUCGCACAAAAUCACAUGGACCUAUCUUCUUCGCUAGGUUGCUACAGUGGCCCCAAGCGCAAACUCGCCCUCCCGAGUUCUGACAAGGAAAAAAACAGAGUAGUGGGCGCCGUACCAUCUGGUUGACGACGUCGAUGGCGUCGCCGAGGUUGGACGCCUGGAACCCCGUGUACGCAAGCGAGGCGAGCAGCCCCUCGAGCCCGAGGCCCGGGUCGUUGAAGUCGGCGCGGCGAUCCUCGUGAACCGCGACUCAUCGAGCGACUCCGACGGCUUUAGCACGAUGGAGCGCACGCCAUCCAGCGCCUCCACGUCGCGGACCACGCCGCCGCCGCCGCCUCCCGCGCCGGCCAUCUCUGGAGUCCGGAGCCCGAACCAGAGCUUUUUACCUGUAUGCCAUUACGAAAGAUGGACCAAACCACCAUGCCACUAAAAAGUUGUUUCGCACCGCUGUGCCCAACUUCAUCUUCGACUAUACCCGUGUGCCAUUCCGUCCCCAUUCCGUCCGUUUUUUGACGAUUAAGAUGUCUGGCACGUGGGCCCUGGGUCAGAAAAUGUCCUUUUUGCCCUUGUAGUCUCGGGCGAUAGAAGAGGAGCGAGCGCCAUUGACCAUUCCCAUUCCCCGUUCCCCACUCUCAGUCUUCCUCUCUCAAACCCCGAGCUCGGAACCCUAGCGGCGGCGGCGGCGGUCGGGACGGCGGAUUCGGCGGCGGUCGAGGACUAUAGUCCCCCCGUGUUGCGUCGGCGCAUGGGUGGUGGCACUUGACCGGUCAGCGAGGGCGAGGACAUCCUUGCGUAGCAGCCAUGGCGUGGAACGGUGCGGGCGAGCGUCCGGAUUGGUUUCGAGACGGGUGAGUUCACUGAUUCUGCGCUCCUUAGUUAAGUUGAUUGUAGUAGCUGUCGUUGAGGGUUUUGCUUUGGCCGUGCGCUACGGAUUGGAUUGGAUUGGAGCUAGGGUUUAUUGAUUUCGUGUUCAUUUGUUCAUCUGUAGGAUGGACCCGGACAGUAGCUUCAAUUUAGAAAUGCGGAUUGUUGUUCCAAACUCACGUGCGCGCUGGUUUUGUGUAAAUGAAGUGGUGGAUGCUGACCGCACACACUUCAGUGGGAUGCUCGAGGAUGUUGUUGACAAGUAUCCGCCUAACUACGGUGAUGUAGCUAGCUUAUUC
rnacentral:lncRNA from 1 species